rnacentral:rRNA from 1 species
UAGAGUCUUCCCCUUCGGGGGACAAAGUGACAGGUGGUGCAUGGUUGUCGUCAGCCCGUGUCGUGAGAUGUUGGGUUAAGUCCCGCAACGAGCGCAACCCUUAAGCUUAGUUGCCAGCAUUAAGUUGGGCACUCUAAGUUGACUGCCGGUGACAAACCGGAGGAAGGUGGGGAUGACGUCAAAUCAUCAUGCCCCUUAUGAUUUGGGCUACACACGUGCUACAAUGGACAAUACAAAGGGCAGCUAAACCGCGAGGUCAUGCAAAUCCCAUAAAGUUGUUCUCAGUUCGGAUUGUAGUCCGCAACUCGACUACAUGAAGCUGGAAUCGCUAGUAAUCGUAGAUCAGCAUGCUACGGUGAAUACGUUCCCGGGUCUUGUACACACCGCCCGUCACACCACGAGAGUCUGUAACACCCGAAGCCGGUGGAGUAACCAUUUAUGGAGCUAGCCGUCGAAGGUGGGACAAAUGAUUGGGGUGAAGUCGUAACAAGGUAGCCGUAUCGGAA